GAUGAACGCUGGCGGCGUGCCUAACACAUGCAAGUCGAACGAAGCAUUUAGGACAGAUUACUUCGGUUUGAAGUUCCUUAUGACUGAGUGGCGGACGGGUGAGUAACGCGUGGGUAACCUGCCUCGUACUGGGGGAUAGCAGCUGGAAACGGCUGGUAAUACCGCAUAAGCGCACAAUGUUGCAUGACAUGGUGUGAAAAACUCCGGUGGUAUAAGAUGGACCCGCGUCUGAUUAGCUAGUGGGUGAGAUAACAGCCCACCAAGGCGACGAGCAGUAGCCGACCUCAGAGAGUGACCCGCCACAUUGAGGCUGGGACGCGGCCCGGACUCCUACGGGAGGCAGCAGUGGGGGAUAUUGCACAAUGGCGGGAACUCUGAUGCAGCUCCGCCGCGUGAGUGAAGAAAUAAUUCAUUAUGUAAUGCUCAAUCAGCAGGGAAGAUAGUGACGGUACCUAACUAAGAAGCUCCGGCUAACUACGUG
rnacentral:rRNA from 1 species